rnacentral:lncRNA from 1 species
UCUAGAGGUUCACUACAGGAUUAAGCUCCAGUUGCCCACAGUGCUAGGUGGCUUAAACCCACACCCUUUCCUGGAUGACUUUCCUUCAUUGAAUCACUUCCCUGUGCCUCUACAGGUAGUCUCCAUGUUGAACUCCUUUUCUCAGGACCGACCUGCUUUUGGGGAACCCAAAUAAAGACAAGGAAGCUACUGGAAGAUAUCCUUCAGCAACAUGAGAGAGAAAGAGGAAGACAUGGAUUUCAGAAAGCAAAGACGGUAAAACAUGAGAACAAUGAAGGGAAAUCCAUGUUGACAGCUAUGCCACAGCCUAGAAAGCAACUAGUCCAAAUGGAAACAAGAGGAAAGAUGGCUUCAGGAGGGACAUCUCAAGGCUAAUUUGAUGGUAUUUCAGGGAGCCGAUAUUCAACAGUCUUGGAGGUUCCAUCAAGACACAGUAGACAUCUGCUCUCCACAGUGACUUAACCCUCCACAAGGAAACAGCGCUCCUCAAAGGCUCCUUGAGCCUCUUCCUCUAAAGUCUCCAUGACAAGAGUGUUGCUCUAAGUCCGCAUUGGGUUUAAGCUUCAAUUGUUUUUAAUUUCCCCAAAUGGACGCCUACCACAGCAUGACGUGCCAAGUGGUUCCACAGGUCUGCCCCCGGGAUCUGAACCAGUGAACCCCGGGCCGCCAAAGCGGACUGUGCGCACUUAACCGCUGAGCCACUGGGCCGGCCCAACACUUCUCUUCUGAUACUUUGGGUCACCAAAUGUGUGGAGGUUUUUCCCUACACCAAGCAAUUCUCUGCAACACCGGCUGGAUAUCCUACAGUUUAACUCGAUUCUGACACUGUCUACCCGGAGAUAGCAUCAGAUCCCACAGAUCAAAGGUUCAGUUCCAUAAGGUGACCCCCAACACACACUUAAGACACCAGUCUCAAGACCAGGUUAUCACCUGUGCUUCUGACCAACUGGCUAUAUAUUGGAGGUUCUAAAGACCCCCUGGGUUGAGUUAAUUUCCUAGAGUGGCUCACAAAAUCCAGGGAAACACUUAAGUUUACCAGUUUAUUAAAGGAUAUGAAAAAGGAUACAGAUGAACAGCCAGAAGAAGAGGUAGAAAUGGUGAGGUCUGGGAGGGUCCCAAGUGCAGGAGCUUCUGUCCCCAUGGAGUUGGGGUGUGUCACCCUCAUGGUGUGGAUGUGUUCACCCACCUGAAAGCUCUCUGAACCCCAUACUUGCAGUCUAAUGAGAAAUUUUCACGUAUUGAGGUAUAUGGGUAUAUCAAACCUGAUUUGGCCUGAACUAAAGCCUGACUUAUGACCUGUCAAAC